rnacentral:rRNA from 1 species
GAUGAACGCUGGCGGCGUGCUUAACACAUGCAAGUCGAACGAUGAACCUCACUUGUGGGGGGAUUAGUGGCGAACGGGUGAGUAACACGUGAGUAACCUGCCCUUGACUCUGGGAUAAGCCUGGGAAACCGGGUCUAAUACUGGAUACGACCUUCUGGCGCAUGCCAUGUUGGUGGAAAGCUUUUGUGGUUUUGGAUGGACUCGCGGCCUAUCAGCUUGUUGGUGGGGUAAUGGCCUACCAAGGCGACGACGGGUAGCCGGCCUGAGAGGGUGACCGGCCACACUGGGACUGAGACACGGCCCAGACUCCGACGGGAGGCAGCAGUGGGGAAUAUUGCACAAUGGGCGCAAGCCUGAUGCAGCGACGCCGCGUGAGGGAUGAAGGCCUUCGGGUUGUAAACCUCUUUCAGUAGGGAAGAAGCCGGCUUUUGGGUUGGUGACGGUACCUGCAGAAGAAGCGCCGGCUAACUACGUG